rnacentral:rRNA from 1 species
AAUAUUGGUCAAUGGAGGCAACUCUGAACCAGCCAAGCCGCGUGAAGGAUGACUGCACUAUGGCUUGUAAACUUCUUCUUUAAGGGAGUAAAUUUAGCUACGUGUAGCUAAUUUUAUGUACUUUACUAAUAAGUAUCGGCUAACUCCGUGCCAGCAGCCGCGGUAGUACGGAGGAUCCGAGCGUUAUCCGGAUUUAUUGGGUUUAAAGGGUGCGCAGGAGGGGGAUUAAGUCGGCGGUGAAAGUUUGCAGCUUAACUGUAAAAUUGCCGUUGAUACUGGUUAUCUUGAGUGUAUAUGAAGUAGGCGGAAUUUGUGGUGUAGCGGUGAAAUGCAUAGAUAUAACAAGGAACUCCAAUUGCGAAGGCAGCUUACUAAAAUACAACUGACGCUCAGGCACGAAGGCGUGGGUAUCAAACA